UACAGAAACAUUAAGUGCCAUGGAUGUGUCA
rnacentral:piRNA from 1 species